GGGUUGUUAGCUCAGUUGGUAGAGCAGUCGCCUCUUAAGCGAAAGUGCGUAGGUUCGAUCCCUACACAGCCCA
rnacentral:tRNA from 2 species